CCUCAUACUCAUUAUCUUCAUAAUCCUUAGCCGGAUAUUCAUAAUCUCUAUAAAACCAUGGAUAAUACCCGUCUUCUUUGAAUUAAAACCACAAACACUCUCUCAUAUUCAUAAUCUUUAUCUCCUCACUUAUCAUUGUGUCAGAAUGAAUCAAUCUUCGGUGGAAAAACCUUCACAGGGGCCGUACAUGAGUCCGCCGCCGAUUGGUUAUCCGACCAGAGAUGUGGCUGGUGCGGAUCCUGUGGUAGCCAAAGUGGAGACCGAGUCCAAAGGCGAAGAAGAAGGGUGUUCUUGUUGUAAAGUUAUUAAGACGGUCUGCUUCUGUUACCAUAUUUACCACUGUUUCUGCUAGUGAUGAGAUCGGAGUCAACGGUUUCAUGCACUUAUUGGUGUUAUAUAUAUAUAUAUAUAUUUGAUGAUUAUUGUGUUACUUAAUUUCAGCUUUGUGCGAGAUGUAUUGUUCUCUUUGUUGUGUUUUACAUAAGUGAUCAUAUAUAUAUAAGUCAAUUUGGUUUGUGAA